GUGGCGAAUGUCUGACGGACUACAUGGCCUAUCACGCCCCAGGUACGGGUUCGCAUCCCGCUGGAUCGCCUAAUUGGUCCGUAGUUUAAAGGGUAGAACAGGAGUCGUUCGUCGAACAUUCGUCGCCAUGGC
rnacentral:Y_RNA from 1 species